GGGGGAUAUUGCACAAUGGGGGAAACCCUGAUGCAGCGACGCCGCGUGGAGGAAGAAGGUUUUCGGAUUGUAAACUCCUGUCGUUAGGGACGAUAAUGACGGUACCUAACAAGAAAGCACCGGCUAACUACGUGCCAGCAGCCGCGGUAAAACGUAGGGUGCAAGCGUUGUUCGGAAUUACUGGGUGUAAAGGGAGCGCAGGCGGACCGGCAAGUUGGAAGUGAAAUCCAUGGGCUCAACCCGUGAAUUGCUUUCAAAACUGCUGGCCUUGAGUAGUGCAGAGGUAGGUGGAAUUCCCGGUGUAGCGGUGGAAUGCGUAGAUAUCGGGAGGAACACCAGUGGCGAAGGCGACCUACUGGGCACCAACUGACGCUGAGGCUCGAAAGCAUGGGUAGCAAACAGGAUUAGAUACCCUGGUAGUCCAUGCCGUAAACGAUGAUUACUAGGUGUUGGAGGAUUGACCCCUUCAGUGCCGCAGUUAACACAAUAAGUAAUCCACCUGGGGAGUACGACCGCAAGGUUGAAACUCAAAGGAAUUGACGGGGGCCCGCACAAGCAGUGGAGUAUGUGGUUUAAUUCGAAGCAACGCGAAGAACCUUACCAGGUCUUGACAUCCGAUGCAUAGUGCAGAGAUGCAUGAAGUCCUUCGGGACAUCGAGACAGGUGGUGCAUGGUUGUCGUCAGCUCGUGUCGUGAGAUGUUGGGUUAAGUCCCGCAACGAGCGCAACCCUUAUUGCCAGUUACUACGCAAGAGGACUCUGGCGAGACUGCCGUUGACAAAACGGAGGAAGGUGGGGAUGACGUCAAAUCAUCAUGCCCUUUAUGACCUGGGCUACACACGUACUACAAUGGCGUUUAACAAAGAGAAGCAAGACCGCGAGGUGGAGCAAAACUCAGAAACAACGUCUCAGUUCAGAUUGCAGGCUGCAACUCGCCUGCAUGAAGUCGGAAUUGCUAGUAAUCGCGGAUCAGCAUGCCGCGGUGAAUACGUUCCCG
rnacentral:rRNA from 1 species